AUGAUUCCUGUAGCACUGCUACUGUUUUUAACCUUCUUAGGGCUCAUCAAUGCUGAUAUGAUUACUCCAGAUAGUACUGAGGUCUCUCAUGUGGAGGGAUCUGGUUUAACCCUUUCAUGCAGCUACUCCUCCUCAAAUCUACAGUCUUUACAGUGGUAUCACCAGCAUCCAAACUCAGCUCCUCAGCAUCUUCUCAGCAUGUACGGUGUUGGGGAGAAUCAGACAUCAGAUGUGGACUCUCGACUGUCUGGGAGAAUGACUAAAGAGAAACUAUAUCUGCACCUCUCCUCUGCUGAACUCUCAGACUCUGCACUCUAUACUGCGCCCUGA